AGGUGCAGGAGGGGCUUGCCCCUUGGCUAUGGCGAUAAACGGAACGUGGAAUAAGCGUAGUGGACCCGGGGGCAGUACCCGGCGUCUCCACCAUAAAAAUCCGGCCCUUGUGGCAUUGGAUAGAUGGGGACGAAACAGGCUCGACACGCGUGGUAAAGACCUUCUUUUUGCCCGGCAUUGUACCGCCGUUAUCGGGCUAAACUUACAAGUGCCAACGAUAACUCAGAGGUGCUCGCUGUCGCUGCAUAAGCGAUAAGCGCGGUUCGGGAGGGCACCGGGCAACAGAAGCCCUCCCACUUUUUAGCCUUCAUCCCUGUUUAUUUUUACGCUUUCAGGCGUU
rnacentral:tmRNA from 1 species